UACGGAGGGUGCGAGCGUUAUCCGGAUUCACUGGGUUUAAAGGGUGCGUAGGCGGGCAGGUAAGUCAGUGGUGAAAUCUCCGGGCUUAACCCGGAACUGCCGUUGAUACUAUCUGUCUUGAAUAUUGUGGAGGUAAGCGGAAUAUGUCAUGUAGCGGUGAAAUGCUUAGAUAUGACAUAGAACACCAAUUGCGAAGGCAGCUUACUACACAGUUAUUGACGCUGAGGCACGAAAGCGUGGGGAUCAAACAGG
rnacentral:rRNA from 1 species